GUCAGCGCAUUCAGCAGCACCCAGGGCGAAGCCUCCACCGUCCCCAAUCCACCAGGUGCCAAUCACUGGCGUGGGCUGUAAGUGCUGAGAAUGUCGCCCCAACACCCCGAUGCACCUGGAAAGCAGACACAGGCAGACGUGAACGAAAGGGACCAGGAAGGAAGGAGGGUCAGGACAAGGGGACACAAGUUCUGUCCCGCAAAGUUCUGAUUGGCCACUGCAAGCAGCAAAGUGACAUCCGAGCUGGCCAUGGAUUUAUGAAAGUGAAUGCUAGAGCGUGUUCCCGGAAAGAACUCUGAUCCACAGAAUUCCUGCCAGAAACCUGAUCCGAAGAGUUAACCCUUAUCCAAUCAAUGAACAGAAGCAACAGAACGUAGCCAAAUGCAGCCAGUCAUAAUUCCUACUGGAUUUCUGAUCUCAGUUCCUCAGGACAAGCUCCUGCCAAUAAGCCACAGGCCAAGAACGAUCCAGUAGCGCUCAAAUAACAAAUACAGGGACACAAGCUUGUGGACUGGAACGAUCCUCCCGAUGCUGCUGCCGUGGAUGGGCACGUUACA